ACCUGGGCCAAGCUUUGACCAGACCCCCAAAACAGAUAUGACAUUGAAAUCCCUGCCAAAGAAAAUGAUGCUAAAACCCCUGCCAAAAAAGAUACAUGGGCAAUUAUCAGGCAUCCUCCUAGACAGGAGUAAGUGCAAAGCAGCAAAGAAUAUGACCAGGAACCAACUAGAAGCAUUCUACGAUGCCUACAAUUUCUUCACAAAGGACUCAGAUGGCAACAUUG
rnacentral:lncRNA from 1 species